rnacentral:rRNA from 1 species
CCUACGGGUGGCAGCAGUAGGGAAUUUUCGUCAAUGGGCGCAAGCCUGAACGAGCAAUGCCGCGUGAACGAGGAAGGUCUUCGGAUCUUUAAGUUCUGUUGAAGGGGAAAAAGAGCGGAGCGAGGAAAUGUACUCCGAUUGAUAUUACCCUUCGAGGUAGUCUCGGCUAACUACGUGCCAGCAGCCGCGGUAAUACGUAGGUGUCGAGCGUUAUCCGGAAUGAUUGGGCGUAAAGGGUGAGUAGGCGGCCUGCUAAGUCUGGAGUGAAAGGUACCGGCUCAACCGGUACAGGCUCUGGAAACUGGCGGGCUAGAGAGCAGGAGAGGGCGGUGGAACUCCAUGUGGAGCGGUAAAAUGCGUAGAUAUAUGGAAGAACACCAGUGGCGAAGGCGGCCGCCUGGCGUGUUGACUGACGCUGAGGCACGAAAGCGUGGGGAGCAAAUAGGAUUAGAUACCCCUGUAGUC